UAUUAAAUUUUUAUCAAUUCAUUAUGUUAAAAGUUGGUUUAGUUGACGGAAUAACCAGAAAUGACACAUGGCAUAUCAUAUAUAUCUCAUGUUGAUAUACGUAAAUUAAUUUUUAAUAGUAGAAAUAGAUGAAAUUUUUAACA
rnacentral:pre_miRNA from 1 species